rnacentral:rRNA from 1 species
UUAAUAAAAUUUUAUUAAUUUUUAAUUAAAAAAAAUAAUUUAAUUUUUAGUAUUGUAUAAAGAAAUAAUAGUAUAAUAAUGAUAGAGUAAAGUAUUGAAAAAGAAAAAUGAAAUAAUUGAAAAUUAAUUAUUUAAAAAGAAAUUUUAAUUUAAUGUACCUUUUGUAUCAGGGAUUAUUAAAUAAAUAAUAGUUAUUUUAUUAUUUUCGAAAUAAAAAGAUUUAAUUUAAUAAUAUUUUUAUUGUAUUAAAAUUAUUUUUAAUAUUAAAUUAGAAUUUAAAAGUUAUUCGAUUUUUAUUAUAUCUAGUUUUUUAAGAAAUAAAUUUAAUUUAAUUUAUAAGUUUUAUUAAAUUAAAUUUAUAAUUUAAUAAUAAUUUAUAGAAAAAAUAUUAAGGGAUAAGCUUUAAUAAAUUUUAUUAUAAAAAAUUUUAAUUUUAAAUUUAUAUAUUCUUAGAAAUAGAAGUUAUUUAAUAGUAUGUUAUAAUUUAAUAUAAAUUUAAUUAAUAUUUAUUUAUUUUUAAUAAAAUAUUAAAAUAUUUAAUUUAAUAAGAGAAUUAAAUUAAUAAUGAUAAUAUUAGUAUAUUUUAAUUUAAUAUUAUAUAUUUAUUUUUUUAGGUAUAUAAUUAUAAGGAACUCGGCAAAUUUAAUGUUCGCCUGUUUAUUAAAAACAUGUCUUUUAGAAUUUAAUUUAAGGUUUAAUCUGCCCACUGAAAUUUAAAGGGCCGCAGUAUAUUAACUGUGCAAAGGUAGCAUAAUCAUUAGUUUUUUAAUUGAAAGCUAGAAUGAAUGAUUGGACGAAAUAUUAGCUGUCUUAUAAUUAUUUUAAUAAAAUUUUAUAUUUUAAUUAAAAAGUUAAAAUAAUAUUAAAAGACGAGAAGACCCUAUAGAUCUUUAUAUAAAAAUAAUUUUAUGAAAAUAAGUUAAAUUUUAUUUUAAAUUAAUUUUAUAUUUUAUUGGGGUAAUAAUAAAAUUUAUAAAAUUUUUAUUUAUAUAAAUCAAUUAUAGUUGAUAUUAUAGAUCCAUUAAUAUUGAUUAAAAAAUUAAGUUACCUUAGGGAUAACAGCGUAAUUAUUUUUGAGAGUUCAUAUCGAUAAAAUAGAUUGCGACCUCGAUGUUGAAUUAAAAUAUAUUUUAGGUGUAGGUGUUUAAAGUAUAAAAUCUGUUCGAUUUUUAAUAUUUUACAUGAUUUGAGUUUAGACCGGCGUGAGCCAGGUCAGUUUCUAUCUUUAAUAGUUUAAUAUAUUUUAGUACGAAAGGAUUAAAUAUAUAAUAAAUUUUAUUAUAAUAAUAUGAAUAAUAGUAAUAGAAUAGUUA